rnacentral:rRNA from 1 species
GAUGAACGCUGGCGGCGUGCCUAAUACAUGCAAGUCGAGCGAACAGACGAGGAGCUUGCUCCUCUGACGUUAGCGGCGGACGGGUGAGUAACACGUGGAUAACCUACCUAUAAGACUGGGAUAACUUCGGGAAACCGGAGCUAAUACCGGAUAAUAUAUCGAACCGCAUGGUUCAAUAGUGAAAGACGGUUUUGCUGUCACUUAUAGAUGGAUCCGCGCCGCAUUAGCUAGUUGGUAAGGUAACGGCUUACCAAGGCGACGAUGCGUAGCCGACCUGAGAGGAUGAUCGGCCACACUGGAACUGAGACACGGUCCAGACUCCUACGGGAGGCAGCAGUAGGGAAUCUUCCGCAAAGGGCGAAAGCCUGACGCAGCAACGCCGCGUGAGUGAUGAAGGUCUUCGGAUCGUAAAACUCUGUUAUUAGGGAAGAACAAAAGUGUAAGUAUCUAUGCACGUCUUGACGGUACCAACUCAGAAAGCCCCGGCUAACUACGUG